UACGGAGGGAGCUAGCGUUGUUCGGAAUUACUGGGCGUAAAGCGCACGUAGGCGGCUUUGUAAGUUAGAGGUGAAAGCCUGGAGCUCAACUCCAGAACUGCCUUUAAGACUGCAUCGCUUGAAUCCAGGAGAGGUGAGUGGAAUUCCGAGUGUAGAGGUGAAAUUCGUAGAUAUUCGGAAGAACACCAGUGGCGAAGGCGGCUCACUGGACUGGUAUUGACGCUGAGGUGCGAAAGCGUGGGGAGCGAACAGG
rnacentral:rRNA from 1 species